GGUGCCCACGCCUGGCAUCAGUAGGAACCCUUGGUUCCUUUGGGUCUCUGCCCCUGGACACUGUUCCCUGGCCUCAGUGAGUCCCUUCUGUCCCUGAGUGGCCCCUUCCCAGGUGGGCUUCAGCUGCUGAGGACUUCAAGGCUGAGUUAAAAGAAGGGUUUCAUCUUAGCCACGUCCCAUCUUAAAGCCUUUACCUGAAGCUUGAUGAGGGAAGAGCGGAGGGGAACCUGAGAUUCGCUUGGGCAACCAGUGCUUUCUCUACUCUCUGCCCAGUCUGGAGAUGGGUAGCAAUGUCAGCAAACGUCAGCGUGAAAAGAAGUUUUAAAACUACAGAUCCUAAAACGCAACAAGGCAGGCACCUGCAGCUCCCACUCCUGUAGCAGAGAAAAAGAAAUUCCCACUUUGCAAUUGCAUCUGAUCAUCAGGAAGCUCUAGUUUUGUGGGAAGAGAGCUGCAUCCAACCCUUCUGAAAUCAUCCCCAGAGGCACCCACUGGCUGACAGGGACA
rnacentral:lncRNA from 1 species